GAGGUUUAAAUCACUCAAAGUGCCAAAGCAGUUACCUUGCAGUCAGAGCAGGGUCAGCUACACCCACUGACUCUGCCCAGGGAAGCUGUGGCUGCCCCAUCCCUUGAAGUGUUCAAGGCCAGGUUGGAUGGGGUUGAAACAGCCUGGUCUAGGGGAAGGUGUCCCUGCCCAUGUCAGAGGGGUUGGAGCAAUCUUAAAGGUCCCUUCCAAUCCAAACCAUGAUGCUGUGACCAUUCCAUGUGCUAUAUUUGGUCCAGCACUGCCAUUUUCCACAUGUACCACAUCCUUCUGCUCACAUGGUUAUUGGGGCAGUAAUAAUCCAUCCUGCUGUCCCAUGGGGCCUCAUUUUCAUCAGCCACUUUGUCUGAAAAAAGUAAUGUGAUACUGUUAAACUGAGAGCAGUUACACCUUGCCCUACCUCGUUUCUCAUCUAUUUUCUCUGCUUGAGAAUUGUAGAAGGGGCUAUGUGCAUGGAAACUCAUCUGCUUUUUUCCAGGUGUCUCUGUUGGUCUAAUAAAUGAUAUUACUUCUCUACAGUAACUUUUGCUUUCACACACCCUUAAAACUUGGUAGUUGUAAGAGUACUAUCACUAAAAUAUGUUAUUAUGGGUAUUGUAUUUCUGACUGAGCUGUAAAAUCAAGGAUCUUACAGUCAUUAAAAAUCCCCCAACACUCCUCACAAAAAUAGACAUGUUAGUUCAGGUUCCCUGGCCCAGCGAGCACAAUCUUUACAUGAUGUUUCAGCUGAAUUGUGGCUCCCUUUACUUUCAGUUGUAACUGAGGGUUGUUAAACAGCUGCCAUGAUUCCCUGUGCUCCCCCAAGAGACCAAGCUGCAAAUGAAUUAUAGAUGUAACACAAGCAGCCUUUCACAGGCGUCACCCAAAGCCUCUGACGUGGCUCAGAAUCAUACGGUUAUUGUCCUGUCAGACCACUGAAACAAAAAUCCCUGGGCUUUGUGAGAGGACCCCAGUGCAUUGAUUGCUACAAAGGAGAGAGAGGAUCUUUGACUCGAGAUAAAAAGAUAUCAGACAUCUGUGAUUAACGAUCAGCAAAACUUGAGUGUUGUAGAGAGAGCUUUUAAUUGAUUCUGGUAAUGUUCCUCUCUGUCUGCAUAUUUAUGCACCAGAUGCACAUAUGCAAAGUGUUUUGGUGUGCAGAUCCUACGUGUGUGACCAUAGAUAAAAUCUGUGAGAGGAAUAUGUGGCAGGGCUACAAGAGUCCCCACACACCAGGGAUUUGGUUGCUGGCUCAAGGGACCAUCAUGGAUAUCUCAGGUUGUGUCAUCCUGGAUCCCCUCACUGAUCCUUAUCUCCAUCCACAUCCAGGCACAUCCCAGCCUGGAUGUGGCCAGGGAGGGGAGAGGGGAGGGGAUUCUGAGUUUUCACAUGUAAGAAAGAAGACAGCAAGAGAGGGGAGGAAGGAGAAGAGAGAGACAGCAAAAGAAGGCAGGAAGAGGAGGAGUAGGAAAGGAGAGGGGAAAAAAGGAGAAAAAUAGAGGAAGAACUACAGAAUACAGAGCAAAUAUCUCCUUAUAACUACAAUUAAAUGUAGACUCCUCCAAAAGAAGAAACAAGGAGAUGACAGUGAGGACUGAAGCUUGGACUCUGUCCAGAUGCUCAAUUGACUUUGUCAUCCUUGUCCUAUUUUGACCUUUCCAUUUUCCAAGGGUAAUUAAACACUCCAGCUUCAGAUUGGAUCUUGCUUCAACUAGUGAUUCACCUCCACUGACAAGGUAAAGAGCUACACAGGAAAGGUCCAACCUGGCUGCCCAAACAGCCAUGUCCAUAUUGGUCUUAUUUUAUGUGAAUAUAAUGCCACCAAGUAAUUAGCAAUAAAAAUACUGUGCAAGAGCAGUGUGUGACAUUAGGUUUGAGUAAUUUGGUCUUUAACCCAUCUAGCAGCUACUGCAGGAUGCACUAAGUGACUGAAAACCAUAUAUCUCAUUACAAUAAAUAUUUUAUAGAUGACAUCUCAGCCCAAAUCACCUUCCAUGACAUUGUUUUUAAAUCCACUGGCAGGUGAUAGGGUGAUUUCAGUGCCUGGUCAUUGGAAAAGAAGUCUUCUGUUGCCACUUUAAAAUGAACCCAUAUUCAUAACAACCAAGUGCUUUAAUUUGGUCCGUGUCAAACAUCAACAGUGCAAUAAACUGGUGACCCUGCUUCAAUUUCUGUCACUCAGAGGACAAAGGAUCACUUCUUCCCCACCCUGGGUGCCUAUUUACCAUUUCUCACCCUUGUGCUGACGCCUACUUGUGAAAAAGCUCUCACAGUGGACAUCCUGCUAUAUUUGUUUUGUGGAGAGGCAGAAGAAUUUGCUAUUUAAGGCUGUAAAUCUGGCAUUUUCACAAGUGCUGAGAAUCACACCUUUGCAUUUCCUGCUGCAUCCCUGCUACAUAAGAAAUCCCUGCUGCUGCAGACAUGCUGAAAGCCAGCUGAAAGCACAGGGAGAAGAAGAGAAGAAGAAGAAGGAGGAAGGAGCUAAGCAUCCCCACCUGGAUAUAAUCGAUAUAAUCUGGGGUUUGGGGCAGCACAAGCAGUCUUUCUACUGGCUUCUCAGAGGAAUGGCUUCUUUUCCACUAUAUCUGCAGAGGAAGACUACACCCUUUCUACAGGAUCCCUGCUCCAACAGAACCAAAUCUGCCACUCUGGGAGGACUGCAGACACCAAUCCAACUGGAGUGCUACCAACACGCUGACCAACAGGGUGUCAGGUUGUAUUCUGACUUUGCUGGUGGUUUUUCUUUUGUAUUAUUGCACGUAUUUUGGUUUUCUUUUCCCUUUUCCUAAUAAAUUGUAUUUCUGACUUGGGGUCUCACUGGUUUUGCUUUCAAACCAAACCAGAACACAUGGGCAUUACAGCAGUGCCCCCCACCUCAUCCAGCAGCUUGGUUCUAAAUGAUUAGAGCCUGAAGGACAUGGGGCUAGGCUGCAAACCCUAGCAGGAGACUGCAUUUGUUCCUCCAGAGAGCCACUUGAACUGCUGGAACUUAGGAGCAAGUCACCAAACAGCAACCAAAGAAAGAUCACCUUCUCUUUUCAAUGCCUUGAAAUGAAGCUCUCCAUCAGUGACUCCUCAUCACCAAGAAAUUUUCAGAGUAACACUCACCCCAUCCCUGGCACCUGAAACCUGCACAUCCCUUCAUUUAGAGGAUGCACAAUGCUUUUGUUAAUUAGAGCCUUAGUUUAAUAUGAGCUGUCAAAGUUCACUUAACUUCAAUUAAUUGUUUCUCCUGAGCUUAAUUUCUUUAGUUAAGUAUUGAUUAAUCAUUGCUUAAUUAUGCUGAAGUCUCACUGGGUGAUAUUUCAGUUGCAUACUGCAGCAAUGCGUUGCUUUCUAAAAAUACUCAGAGAAUCAUCAGAAAUUUUAUGUAUUGCUAUUAUUGGGAUGUCUUUUAAUAUUUAUCUUUGCCUCCCUUAUGUUCCAAAAUGUAUAUUUAACAUUUUGUGUUUAAUUCCACUAGUUUACAACUCAUUUUUCUCUGUGUUGGUAGGUCAUACAACAGAGUCUUGCUCUGCCUGGUGAGGGGAGAAAAGUUUUGCCUCUGGCAUCCAGAGUCUUAUGCCAGGAAAAGUAGGUUAGGGAACACAAGUAAAUGAUCUUUACUGUGGCACAAUAUAAAAAACAAAAACAUUGAUGGCGUGUGUUUUUUUUUUUAACAUUUACUUUAAGUGACAUGCAAUGACUUUGGCUCAAAUAUUAUCUGUAUUUCCUAAAAUCCACAAUGCUGGAGCUCUUAUGAAUGUGGCCUUCAGACCAAGGCGCUUCCAAUCUGAAAUCUCAGUCUGUUCUGAAGUAUCAGGAAGAGAAAACUACCUCCACCUCUCUGUUGUAUUUCAACAGCUCUGUAAUGUCAGGUUGGAUAGCAAGUAUCUUAAUUUUCACAGAUAAGUAUAAUAACUAUUACAUUUUUUCCAUGGUCUCUCUUGAAUUUCAAUAUUUACCCAAAUUAGAAGUUAAGUUUGAUCUGUAGUGAGAAAUUAAACAAUUACCUUUUCCCCCACAAUAAUUUCCCUGGAGUCCAUUUAGGCAUCUCAUUUUACCUACACACAGAAGCAUUUUUUAUUAUUUUUCUAGACGAGAAAGAGUCAUUCCCCAGGGAACACUUCUUGGCUUGACUCGGUUUUAUCACAGUCAAGUUUUAACUUUCUCCCUGUGGUACACAAUCACUUUUUCAGAGAUCUCUCAACCUACUACUACUAAAAUUUAAUUUUGAACGUGUUCUGUGCUGUAGGAGUACUCAGCAUUAUUUACUACUGUCAUUCCAGAAUCUCAAACGAGCACUGGUAGGAAUAUGCUGUAAAGAGAGUCAUCAAAAUGACAUCCUUUUCUACUACCUUUCACCUGCUCAGUGGUGUAAACAUCUGGCACCUUGGGAAUGCACAUCUUUGCUGUGUGAAAGGCAAAAUAAACUGGUGAAUGGACUGAUUGUUACAUAGAUCAUGGAAAACACUUCUGUUCCCUUAUGCUGAAUGACACAAUAGACUGAAUUUUCCAGAGAGGGAUGGAUGAAUUAGUCCAGGAUAAAAAAGAAAGUACUGACUAAACCCUUGCUCAGAAUUUCAACAAGUGCUAAUCAAAACAUCCCCAGAGUACAAUUAAUCUGUCCUUUGUUAUUCACUUCCUAUCACAACUCUGUGUUUCUGGAUUCUGAUCAAAAGCAGAAACCCCAUUUCUAUAGCACUGCUUGGUUGUAACAAAUUUGUACCAAUACAUAAUCAAGAAACUGAAAAGCAAGUCUGUUGUCAUGACUCUCUUUGCAUCUUCAUCUAAACUCUGUCUCCUAGUCCAGGUCAUUACUGAUGCAGGUGCUGAACAAACACACUCCUGCCCUGACAGGCUCCCUGGAAAAGAAGAAACAAAGAAUUGGAAAAAGGAAGUUUUACCUUCCCUGGUUUCUGUAAAGGAAACUGCAGCACUGAGACACAACAAGCUGAAUUUCCCAGUGUGAUUUGGAUCCAUAUUCAUUAAAAUGAUAAGUCAUUGAUCUUAAUUACAAUCCCCAGGAUCCUGCCACAUGCAAGUCAAGCUGUUUGUGGAAGUUUAGCAAAAUCAACUUGAUGCACAUCCUCAACUUUCUUAUGCUAAUUCCUAAAGACAAAAACAUUCCCAUUUUGUCAGCUUUCUCGGUGUCAGCCACAAUUUUACAGCUCAGCAUUAUUUAUUUAUAUUGUAACCUACCUAAACAGACAGAGUCAUCAACCACAGUUGUAUCAGGGGCUUUGCUACCAGGAAACAAAACUUCUAAAUCCAGGUGUGAAGAUGAGGCCACAGAGAUGAACAGGCAGUUAAGUGGGAAGUAUGAUUUUAUCAGGGCAAUCAGCCUGGUCCGAGGGGACCAGAGCUCCUCCAAUCCCCUUCUGCAGACUGAACCCUGCCUGACUAAUGUUAGGAGAGAUGGCUAAAUCUAUGUGCCUAUGAAUGUUUCAAACAUUCCAGUACUCUCUAACAAAGGAAUACACACAAGGCUUGCAUGAGCUUUUUCAUCUGUCACAUCCAAAUUGCAAAAUCAAGCACGGCACCAUGCAACUCUAUACUCAGUGAUCUGCUGGAGUUUGCAAGGUUUCUCUCCCACUACAUUAAUAAUGUGACAUGUCCCCAUUAAAAUAAUAAAUAAACAAAUUUAAAUGAAGGGAGCCAUGGCUUAUUUCUUUCAGCAUACCUUCAAGUGCACAGAAUCCCUGGUUCCCCUGGCUGGGCUGUCACAACCUCCUUUCUGUUAAGGUCUCUUAACCACUUUUUUUCAUCCUUCCAGCUCGUCUGAGAAAAGAACAGGAGGACAAAACAUUCUUACAACUGCCUGUGAACCUAUACACUGAGAGUGUCUUGUGGGAAGUCUGCUGUGGAUUUCUGGUCUCUGGGACAUGUGGUCUGUGAGGCUGACUGCAUUUAGGAUACAACACCUUGUAGAGGAAGGGCUGUGAUUUGGUGUAAAAAAUUGUUCAGGCAUAAGAGGAGAGAAAGAAGUUGUAAAGUUAAAGCAAGAUCCCCAAGAGGCAUCAGAACUGCCAGUGUCUAUGAGUUCAGUGUGUACCCUCUUUUCUCAGCACAUUUGCUUUGGGCAAAACUAUAAUAAAAAUAAUUCAUCAACUGAAGUAGGUAAGUGUUCCUGUUAACAUAUCUAUCCUAAAAUACUUCUGUUAUUAAUAAACAACCAAGUAAAAGCUGCAGGUCACCAUAACUUUAUCAGACUUCUCACCCUAAUAAUCUGUUUCCAUUUUGAGUUACACUGUGCAAUUGACUGAACAGUGCUUUCUUGCUUUUCAAAAAUUUCAGUUUGCUUCCUUGUUUUUCAAAAAACCACAAUUGCUUCAUUUGGAUUUGCUGAUUUUUGAUAACUAAAUUGGCUUUUGUACUGUAAUAAUUUCCCCUUCUAUUUCUCCAUCUUUCACUUUACAGGGGCUGUAGUUUGGUUUUGAAUCCUGCUCUCCUGGUACCAGCAGCAUUUUCACAAGGGCUGAAGCUCUUGUGGCUGUUCUCAUCCAACUUGGUUGAGCAGACUAAAAGGAAAAGAAAUGCAGCUAAAUUCUGAGGGAUCAGGUUCUACCCACUUCUAACAUAUUAUGCAACUUUUCAUCCUUUGAGUUGUCUUAUUGAUUUCAGUGGAAGAAUUUGUUUUUGCAGAAUGUGAAUAAGAUGCCAGAAUUUCACCCUAAAUAUUUUACUUUACAAAGGAAGCCAUGAUGCAGAAGAAAACACACCCUGAGCUGCAGCAGGACACAAAAUUUGCAGUUACAAUAAAAGCUGGGAAGCCUUUUUCUUCUUUGUGAUGGUGGCCUCCUAUUGAAAGUGCUUAAUAAACAGAACCAGUUCUGUGUGAAUAAAAUGAAAGAUGUUCAUAAACAAACUGAGAGGCUUCUAAUCCCUACAGCACCACAAAUAAUUCAAAGAAGUCUUGAAGUGCCACGAUAAUGGCACAAGAUGAUUAUCUCUGUAUUAUUGGUUUUGUCUACAUCAAAGAAGGCUCUGUAGGAAAAAAUAAUGUUGCAUAAAAAAACCCAAACACAUUUCUUUUUUAAAAAGCAGACAAUUAAAAUUAUCCGGAAGUUAAGGAAAAUAUGAACUAAAAAUAUUUUUUCUUUGAAAGUCUGUAUUACCCUUAAAACAAUUUUGUGGUGGAUAUUGCAGGCUCUGGAUUAACAUAAAUGUCUGAUUGAAAAUCUUUGUAAGGACGUUAAGAUUAAGUACACAGCUCUUAAGUUCUACAAAUACAAAACUGAUUUCAAAGGAAUCAAGUGAUGAGUAUGGAUGUCCAUGAAACAAAUAUAAUGUAUUCAUAAAGGCCUUUUCCACCAGUCAAGACAUAAAGUGACAACAACUGGACUUGUCACCUGCUUUUAAAAUUGCUUAAAUUAAAGAUUAUGGGCAACACUGAAAAAGGAAAGAAAGAAUUAUGAGCCAGCUGUACCUGUGGUGUGAUAACAUUGCCUUCAGGAUGGACAAGGCACUGGUUGGUCAACUUCUAUGUUGGUAAUUUUGGAUGUACAUGAAGUAAAGAGAAUGGGGUGCUCAAGGAAUGACCAAAAACUGUACAGGGCAAAUUCCACAUAGUACAAUGUCAGCAAAGCCUGGGGACUUGUGAGGAGGGAAGGGAAAGAGAACCCCUUAAUCUACAUGACAUUAUAAAACAAAUCACAAAGCUUGGCAUGCCCUCCACCAGUGGAAGCACGACACACCAGGCAGGAGAGUGUGACCGUGGUCACAGGGGUUUGCAGGUGAAGAGAGAGGCGAGAAUGUUGAUUCCAUGAUCAGAAGGUUUGAUUUAUUAUUUUAUGAUAUAUACAACAUUAUGACUAUACUAAAAAGAAAUAGAAGGAAAAGGCUUCUUCAGAAGCUGGCUAAGCUAAGAAUAGAAAAGAAUGAUAACAAAGAUCUGUGUCUCGGCAGAGAGUGAGACCCAGCUCUGCCGUGAGUGGUCAGUAAAUCCAAACAUCCACAGGAGACCAAUCACAGAUCCACCUGUUGCAUUCCACAGUAGCAGAUAACCAUUGUUUAUAUUUUGUUGCUGAAACUUCUCAGCUUCAGCAGGAAAAAUCCUAAUGAAAGGAUAUUAAUGAAAAGAUGUCUGUGACAGGAGAGCUGUCCCAGGUGCUCUUAUCUCUCUCAGAAUAUUCAAAACCUUUCACAGAUGUAGAAAUUCAAGUUUCUGUAGAGUCAGGAUCUCCUGAUGCUUUGCACAGUCCCAGGAGCACUCCAUGUGGAGGUGCAGUGGGACUGCCUUUCAUUUCUCCAACAACCAAACCACUGCACAAUGGAGUGGGCAAAAUCCUGAGUGUUUUGUGCCUGCCUUGUUGUCAGGCACAGAGCUGUGUGUUUGCCUUUGUCCCUUUUGCACGUGGGG